rnacentral:lncRNA from 1 species
GAGGGCUAAGGUGCAGGUCUCAUCUCCCCUCCGCCCCCUUCCCAGAGCCCCGGCACUCAGCCCCUCUUUUCACCCGGGGAGGGGCGGGGCCGCGUACCGGAAGAGGCGGGGCCAUCGGAGUGCCUAAGAGCUGCCCUCGGAUGUCGCUCUUCCUUUCCCGCGCGACCGGCGAGGGAGGAAGAAGCGCGAAGAACCGUGUGUCAUGCUGGUGUGGUGGCGGCGGCGGAGCCUGCGGGCCCGUAGCUGUGCUCUGCGAGGUGCAAGAAAGCCUUUGCGGUGAAGGUGUAUGAAGGUCAUCAUGACAAAUGUUUUCCAAAAACUUGUAGAAGGCUGUGAAAAAACUACGAGGAUCACACGUCAUGUAUUGAGGUGUGGCAUGCAACAUUUUGGAAGGAAAAUUGAAGACUUGUUCAAGAAAACACGAACAGAAGCAAAUGAUGAAAAUGAGCAUUUUACUUGAUGUUGAUAACAUCACAAUAAAUUAUGGAG